ACGUAGGUGGCAAGCGUUGUCCGGAAUUACUGGGUGUAAAGGGAGCGCAGGCGGAACUGCAAGUUGGAUGUCAAAUCUACGGGCUCAACCCGUAUACGCAUUCAAAACUGCGGUUCUUGAGUAGUGCAGAGGUAGGCGGAAUUCCCGGUGUAGCGGUGGAAUGCGUAGAUAUCGGGAGGAACACCAGUGGCGAAGGCGGCCUACUGGGCACCAACUGACGCUGAGGCUCGAAAGCAUGGGUAGCAAACAG
rnacentral:rRNA from 1 species